rnacentral:rRNA from 1 species
CUACCAUGCAGUCGAGCGGUAGAGAGGUGCUUGCACCUCUUGAGAGCGGCGGACGGGUGAGUAAAGCCUAGGAACCUGCCUGGUAGUGGGGGAUAACGCUCGGAAACGGACGCUAAUACCGCAUACGUCCUACGGGAGAAAGCAGGGGACCUUCGGGCCUUGCGCUAUCAGAUGAGCCUAGGUCGGAUUAGCUAGUUGGUGAGGUAAUGGCUCACCAAGGCGACGAUCCGUAACUGGUCUGAGAGGAUGAUCAGUCACACUGGAACUGAGACACGGUCCAGACUCCUACGGGAGGCAGCAGUGGGGAAUAUUGGACAAUGGGCGAAAGCCUGAUCCAGCCAUGCCGCGUGUGUGAAGAAGGUCUUCGGAUUGUAAAGCACUUUAAGUUGGGAGGAAGGGCAUUAACCUAAUACGUUAGUGUUUUGACGUUACCGACAGAAUAAGCACCGGCUAACUCUGUGCCAGCAGCCGCGGUAAUACAGAGGGUGCAAGCGUUAAUCGGAAUUACUGGGCGUAAAGCGCGCGUAGGUGGUUCGUUAAGUUGGAUGUGAAAUCCCCGGGCUCAACCUGGGAACUGCAUUCAAAACUGUCGAGCUAGAGUAUGGUAGAGGGUGGUGGAAUUUCCUGUGUAGCGGUGAAAUGCGUAGAUAUAGGAAGGAACACCAGUGGCGAAGGCGACCACCUGGACUGAUACUGACACUGAGGUGCGAAAGCGUGGGGAGCAAACAGGAUUAGAUACCCUGGUAGUCCACGCCGUANACGAUGUCAACUAGCCGUUGGGAGCCUUGAGCUCUUAGUGGCGCAGCUAACGCAUUAAGUUG